rnacentral:rRNA from 1 species
AACGAACGCUGGCGGCGUGGAUUAGGCAUGCAAGUCGAACGCGAAAGGGGAGCAAUCCCUGAGUAGAGUGGCGAACUGGUGAGUAACACGUGGAUAUCUACCUCUUGGUGGGGAAUAACCUGGGGAAACCUGGGCUAAUACCGCAUAAGUUCGUGAGAAGAAAGCCGAAAGGCGCCGAGAGAGGAGUCCGCGGUCGAUUAGGUAGUUGGCGGGUAAGAGCCACCAAGCCAAAGAAUCGAUAGCCGGCCUGAGAGGGCACACGGCCACACUGGCACUGAAACACGGGCCAGACUCCUACGGGAGGGCAGCAGUGGGGAA